rnacentral:tRNA from 1 species
GCCUCCGUAGCUCAGUGGAUAGAGCAUCCGCCUUCUAAGCGGCUGGCCGCGGGUUCGAUCCCCGCCGGGGGCGCC